AUACGGAAGGUCCGGGCGUUAUCCGGAUUUAUUGGGUUUAAAGGGAGCGCAGGCGGAGAUGCAAGCGUGACGUCAAAUUUCGGGGCUCAACCCCGUCUCGCGUCGCGAACUGCGUCCCUUGGUUGCGGGAAGGGGAGGCGGAACUCGUGGUGGAGCGGGGGAAUGCAUAGAUAUCACGAAGAACUCCGAUCGCGAAGGCAGCCUUCCGGCCCGUCAACGACGCUCAUGCUCGAAGGUGCGGGUAUCAAACAGGAUUAGAUACCCUGGUAGUCCGCACAGUAAACGAUGGACACCCGCGGUUUGGCCUGUAUGGCUGAGCCGCCAAGCGAAAGCGUUAAGUGUCCCACCUGGGGAGUACGCCGGCAACGGUGAAACUCAAAUGAAUUGACGGGG
rnacentral:rRNA from 1 species